AGCCCUUCAGAGUGCCGAGAGAAGGGUUUUUUUUUUUUAUUGGAACAAUACAGGGAAGAUUAGCAUGGUCCCUGCACAAGGAGAAGAUAUUCUUAAACAGGGUGGUUGU